UUUUUUUCCCUUUUUUAUCGGUACUGCAGCUGCUGCUCCACCAAGAAUCAGAUAACUCUGCGCAGUUGUCCCAAAUUGACACGGAGCAACUGCUGGCCCAUCUAGUAGAAACAGAAAUGAUAAAGAGAACGA